UUCCUACGGGAGGCAGCAGUAGGGAAUCUUCCACAAUGGACGAAAGUCUGAUGGAGCAACGCCGCGUGAGUGAGGACGGCCUUCGGGUUGUAAAGCUCUGUUAUUAGGGAAGAACAGCAUAAGUAGGGAAUGACUUAUGUGUGACGGUACCUAAUGAGAAAGCCACGGCUAACUACGUGCCAGCAGCCGCGGUAAUACGUAGGUGGCAAGCGUUAUCCGGAAUUAUUGGGCGUAAAGGGUGCGUAGGCGGUCUUUUAAGUCAGAUGUGAAAGCCCACAGCUUAACUGUGGAGGGUCAUUUGAAACUGGAAGACUUGAGUACUGGAGAAGAGAGUGGAAUUCCAUGUGUAGCGGUGAAAUGCGUAGAUAUAUGGAGGAACACCAGUGGCGAAGGCGGCUCUCUGGCCAGUAACUGACGCUGAGGCACGAAAGCGUGGGGAGCAAACAGGAUUAGAUACCCUGGUAGUCCACGCCGUAAACGAUGAGUGCUAAGUGUCGGGGGAGACCUCGGUGCUGAAGUUAACGCAUUAAGCACUCCGCCUGGGGAGUACGGUCGCAAGACUGAAACUCAAAUGAAUUGACGGAA
rnacentral:rRNA from 1 species